rnacentral:rRNA from 1 species
AUUGAACGCUGGCGGCAUGCCUUACACAUGCAAGUCGAACGGCAGCACGGGAGCAAUCCUGGUGGCGAGUGGCGAACGGGUGAGUAAAGUAUCGGAACGUGCCCAGUCGUGGGGGAUAACGUAGCGAAAGUUACGCUAAUACCGCAUACGAUCUAUGGAUGAAAGCGGGGGAUCGCAAGACCUCGCGCGAUUGGAGCGGCCGAUAUCAGAUUAGGUAGUUGGUGGGGUAAAGGCUCACCAAGCCGACGAUCUGUAGCUGGUCUGAGAGGACGCCCGGCCCCCCUGGGACUGAGACACGGCCCAGACUCCUACGGGAGGCAGCAGUGGGGAAUUUUGGACAAUGGGCGCAAGCCUGAUCCAGCCAUGCCGCGUGCAGGAUGAAGGCCUUCGGGUUGUAAACUGCUUUUGUACGGGACGAAAAGGUUUGGCCUAAUAAGCUGAGCUCAUGACGGUACCGUAAGAAUAAGCACCGGCUAACUACGUGCCAGCAGCCGCCGUAA